AGAGACAGCAGCCGCCGCGGUAAGACAGGGGAUGCAAGCGUUAUCCGGAAUGAUUGGGCGUAAAGCGUCUGUAGGUGGCUCCUUAAGUCCGCUGUCAAAUCCCAGGGCUCAACCCCGGACAGGCAGUGGAAACUACUGGGCUGGAGUACGGUAGGGGCAGAGGGAAUUUCCGGUGGAGCGGUGAAAUGCGUAGAGAUCGGAAAGAACACCAAAGGCGAAGGCACUCUGCUGGGCCGACACUGACACUGAGAGACGAAAGCUAGGGGAGCAAAUGGGAUUAGAUACCCCCGUAGUCCCUGUCUCUUAUAC
rnacentral:rRNA from 1 species